AUUGAACGCUGGCGGCAGGCCUAACACAUGCAAGUCGAGCGAGCGGCGGACGGGUGAGUAAUGUAUGGGGACUGCCCGAUAGCGGGGGAUAACUCCUGGAAACGGUGGAUAAUACCGCAUACUAUCGGAUAACCCAUAUGGGAUUAGCUAGUAGGUGGGGUAAAGGCUAACCUAGGCGACGAUCGCUAGCUGGUCUGAGCGGAUGAUCAGCCACCCUGGGACUGAGACAUGUCCAGGAUUCCUACGGAGGCAGCAGUGGGUAAUAUUGCACAAUGGGCGCAAGCCUGAUGCAGCCAUGCCGCGUGUAUGAAGAGGUCCUUAGGGUUGUAAAGUACUUUCAGCGGGGAGGCGUUACCCGCAGAAGAAGCACCGGCUAACUCCGUGCCAGCAGCCGCGGUAAUUC
rnacentral:rRNA from 1 species